rnacentral:rRNA from 1 species
GUAAGGGCCCAGGUAGACUACCUGGUCGAUAGGCGGCAGGUGCAAGCGCGGCGACUCGUUCAGCCGAGCCGUACUAAUAGCCCGAGCUCUUACCCGC